CUGCGGAGGAUCAUUACUGA
rnacentral:rRNA from 1 species